rnacentral:rRNA from 1 species
GACGAACGCUGGCGGCGUGCUUAACACAUGCAAGUCGAACGGAAAGGCCCUGCUUUCGUGGGGUGCUCGAGUGGCGAACGGGUGCGUAACACGUGAGUAACCUGACCUUGUCUUUGGGAUAACUUCAGGAAACUGGGGCUAAUAUCGGAUAGGAGCUCAUGCUGCAUGGUGGGGGUUGGAAAUUUUCGGCGGUUGGGGUUGGACUCGCGGCUUAUCAGCUUGUUGGUGGGGUAGUGGCUUACCAAGGCUUUGACGGGUAGCCGGCCUGAGAGGGUGACCGGCCACAUUGGGACUGAGAUACGGACCAGAGUCGAACGGUAGGCAGCAGGGGGGAAUAUUGCACAAUGGGCGGGAGCGUGAUGCGGCAACGCCGCGGGCGGGAUGACGGCCUUCGGGUUGUAAACCGCUUUCGCCUAUGACGAAGCGUGAGUGACGGUAAUGGGUAAAGAAGCACCGGCUAACUACGUG